AUAGAUGCAACACACGCUGGCAGACGAGCAAGAAGUGCUCUUCUGUCCAGCUCGUGUUGUGCCCCUGCGCCCCUGUGCAUAGAGCUAAGUAGAAAAGCGUAAGACUCCUGAUCCGAUUCAACUUGUUCAUACGUUUGCAAGGCAAGUUUAUGAGCUAUUUGAUUAGUUGAAAUAAACAUGUCAUUCAAUUUAUACGUCAAAUCCGCGUGCCAGGGGGUGGCUGCCGCCAGCCAAGCCAAGCCCAGCGCGUGGCUUAUUCCAUCUCCGGCAUCCGGAGCAAGCGAGAAGGGGCGGUGGCAGGAGAAUAUUCUCGAGGGAGGGCAGGGAGUUUUUUUUUUCACGAAAUGGUACGUGUAACUAUGAUAAUGAUUCAUGAAGAAGAG
rnacentral:lncRNA from 1 species